rnacentral:rRNA from 1 species
GAUGAACGCUGGCGGCGUGCCUAAUACAUGCAAGUCGAGCGAACAGACGAGGAGCUUGCUCCUCUGACGUUAGCGGCGGACGGGUGAGUAACACGUGGAUAACCUACCUAUAAGACUGGGCUAACUUCGGGAAACCGGAGCUCAUACCGUAUAAUAUAUUGAACCGCAUGGUUCAAUAGUGAAAGACGGUUUUGCUUUCCCUUAUAGAUGGAUCCGCGCCUCAUUAGCUAGUUGGUAAGGUAACGGCUUACCAAGGCAACGAUGCCUAGCCGACCUGAGAGGGGGAUAGGAGACACUGGAACAGAGACACGGGCCAGACUCGGACGGGAGGCAGGAGUAGGGAAUCAUGCGAAAUGGGAGAAAGCAAGACGGAGCAAUGGCGCGUGAGUGAAGAAGGUAAUCGGAUCUGAAAACACAGGUAUUAGGGAAGAACAAAUGUGUAAGUAACUAUGGAAGUAUUGACGGUACCUAAGGAGAAAGCAACGGCUAACUACGUG